rnacentral:rRNA from 1 species
AUUGAACGCUGGCGGCAGGCCUAACACAUGCAAGUCGAGCGCAUGAAGGGAGCUUGCUCCUGGAUUCAGCGGCGGACGGGUGAGUAAUGCCUAGGAAUCUGCCUGGUAGUGGGGGAUAACGUCCGGAAACGGGCGCUAAUACCGCAUACGUCCUGAGGGAGAAAGUGGGGGAUCUUCGGACCUCACGCUAUCAGAUGAGCCUAGGUCGGAUUAGCUAGUUGGUGGGGUAAAGGCCUACCAAGGCGACGAUCCGUAACUGGUCUGAGAGGAUGAUCAGUCACACUGGAACUGAGACACGGUCCAGACUCCUACGGGAGGCAGCAGUGGGGAAUAUUGGACAAUGGGCGAAAGCCUGAUCCAGCCACGCCGCGUGUGUGAAGAAGGUCUUCGGAUUGUAAAGCACUUUAAGUUGGGAGGAAGGGCAGUAAGUUAAUACCUUGCUGUUUUGACGUUACCAACAGAAUAAGCACCGGCUAACUUCGUG